rnacentral:lncRNA from 1 species
AAUAGUGCUAAUGUUGCAAAUAUGUUGGUUCCAUAAAACAACAUUUUUCUAUACUUUUUUCUUCCAGAAGUGUUUCUAUUGCUCCUUGCUGCUGCUGUUCUGUGAUCCAGUGAGUGAUGAAUGUGUCCUAAAGGUCUGCAGGAAGUCUAUAACAAAGAUUUUUAUGGAAUGUGGAUGUGAAAGAUACCAUGAUAGUGGCAAGAUUCCAUAAGUCUCUGAAAGGAAGAAGGAAAGCAUCCAAAUGGUUCACAUGGAAAGGAGCAAAUGUCCAGGCAAUCUUAGUUAUCCAAGGAACUGGAAUUGCACCCAGAAAUAUACAAGCAAUUAACUCCCCUUCUAUUCUGGCUCACUACUUCAUCUCUGAACGCUUUGUUGGCUCAUUUACAAUGGUGACAGGCAGCUUUAAUUAAGACAUAAAACUUGAAGUGGUUCUAAUUAUUGGUUUCUAAUUACUGGAUUUUUCCCUGGUUCCUUCCUUUUUCUUUUUUUUUUCUUUUUCCUUUUUUCUUUCUUUCUUUCUUUCUUUCUUUAUUUAUU